rnacentral:rRNA from 1 species
CGCUAGCGGCAGGCCUAAUACAUGCAAGACGAACGGUAAGUUGAGUAGCAAUACUUAGCCAAGAGUGUCGUACGGGUGCGUAACACGUAUGCAACCUACCCUAUACAGGAGGAUAGCCUAGGAAACCUGAAUUAACCCUUCAUAGUAUUAUUGGAUGGCAUCAUUUGAUAAUUAAAACUGAGGUGGUAUAGGAUGGGCAUGCGUCUGAUUAGUUAGUUGGCGGGGUAAUGGCCCACCAAGACGAUGAUCAGUAGGGGUUCUGAGAGGAAGAUCCCCCACACUGGCACUGAGAUACGGGCCAGACUCCUACGGGAGGCAGCAGUAGGGAAUAUUGGUCAAUGGAUGCAAGUCUGAACCAGCCAUGCCGCGUGCAGGAAGAAGGCCUUCUGGGUUGUAAACUGCUUUUGCCAGGGGAUAAAAUUUCCAUGCGUGGAAAACUGAAGGUACCUGGUGAAUAAGCCACGGCUAACUACGUG